CCAGUUGUGUAGUUGAUAGCUUCCACAAAGCUUUCGAUAUUAAUGAGUGUUGUUGUCAUCUUACAGGACUUAUUCCAUGAAAUUUACAGUCCAGGUGUAAUUUGUCAUUGAUUGAUAUUCAUCUCAGUACCUCCAGUGAGUCAAGAUGCAUUGAGAGAUAGAAGAAGUCAAGUCGGAAGAAACUCAUUGCCGUUGCUGGACUGAACCUUCACGCUUCAGGUUUCAAUGGCAGCUGCAACUCCUUCACCCCUGGCGGCCUCUACUGAAACAACAAAUGGAAUCAAGUUGAGGAGACUUCUUGUCGAUGGUGGAACGACAGUUCUAAGGAAGGUUUUUGAUGGCAUUCAUCCUCCCACAAAACUGACUGCUAAUCUCCACUUGAAUAAUUCAACUCUAGAUGACCUCUUUGCGAGAGGAAUCCUUAGUGAACAGCAGAGAAAUCGUCUGUUUCCCCCAGAUGGAUCCAAACCAGACU